UAAAAAAAUUGUUAAAAAAUAAAAUACAGUUGAGAUGUUGCAUCAUGGAAGGAAUGAUGGAGCCAGGGAGAGGGUAGUUGGCUAGAGAGUUUGGACUUUGUAGAGGGGGUGGUUGCAAAUUGCAAAUUCAUUUUAUAUAAAAAAAUCGUGUUGUUACAAAAAAAAAAAGAAUAUAAAAUAUUCAUAAAUUGAAUAGGUAAGGAUUUAUAUAACUAUAAAUAAGUACAGAUUUAACCCCAAAAUUAUCACGACUCUAACCCGUUAUUCACAGCUCCACCAAAGUCAACUCCAACACAGAAGCUGCUAUGUCUGACUCUGAUGUGGAAGAGGAAAGAAAGACCCCACAAAAUAUAGUCGAAGAAGAUGACAUUGAAGCUGCGUCUUAUGCCAAUGGACACUACUCUAUUCCGCAUUGCAUCCAAAUCCUGCAAAAUCUAAAGCGUCUAAAGGACGAAUACUACAAUCCACUACUGAGUGAAGACCAAUUUGGCUAUGCGGUAGAAUUGGUUAAAUAUAGCAAAAAUAGAGUCAUACUUGUUUCCUUAAAAGAUUGCAUGAAAGAUUUGGCACUUUGGAUUGAACACAAAUAUGAAAAUAAACGGACACCUCUAGUAUAUUACUAAAGUCUUGUAAACCUCUAGUAUUUAUGUUAAUGUUUGUGAGAGUUUCACUCUUACACUCUUUGAAACCAAACCCCCCUCCCCCUCCUAUUGUAAUGAAUUUGUAUUUGCAUUUUAUGAUUAUUUCCCCUUUCGAUUUGUUCUGUCAA